AGAGAGAGAGAGAGAGAGAGAGAGAGAGAGAGAGAGAGAGAGAGAGAAUGCUAAUUGUGAAGCCUAUAAUUUUUAUUGAUAUAUUUCCCUAAUAUUUCAAUAAAAGUCUAAAGGAAGUACAGAAGCAGGCAGAGAGUUCAUGAGUGUACCAGAGAAAGCGAUAAAAGAUUAUGAAUAUUGUGGUAAAUUUUUGUACUUAACCCAGUAAUGUCAUUAAUUCCCCAUCCCCAAAACCCACACCCCGGCACCCAACACUCUUACCGCCACCCAUCCAUGCCAACUUGUUAAUGUUUGAAUGUUUGUGUGAAGAUGAAUAGAUGAAUAAGCAAAUAAUUUGAUUGGAUUAUAGAUUUAUAUUAGGUAGAUGGAUAGGUAGGUAAAAGUAGGUAAAUAAAUUGCAGAUUCAUAGAUAGAUUAGUUGAUAGAUAAGAAAAUCGAUGUGCAUGAGAAAAUGUAAAUAUUUUUCUAAUUAUCAAUCCAUCUUGGUGUAUUGUCAAAAUAUACAAAUAUAAAAAAUAGAGGUGAUAGAAACAGAGAAUGGAAGAAAUGUCAUAGUCUACCUUUCAAAUACCACGUUUUUUUUUUUUUUUUUUUUUUUUUCUUACAUUUCCCCGCAGUGAUGCAAACAUUCGCUGUAAAACUACAAGACUAAUAAUUUUAAUGUUAACUGCUUUGACAAAUAACUAUAGCUGGACACGAUAACUGAAAGAAAGAUGUUAUAAUAACCAAUAAUUCUAAAUAUGAAAUUCGUGUAAGUAUAGUAUCUUAUCAAUAAUAGAUGUAGUAUUAGAUAGUUAUCAUAGACAUUUAUAUUAGACACGUACUGCCUUUGUAAACAUAUCUACGGCUACAGUACAGAGCUUAAAAGCGUCAGCCCGUCAGCUGAGUAGAGGUGAUGGCAGUAGUGGUGGUGGGUGUGUGGUGUUACUGCUGCUCAGUCUUGACGCACACCCAAACACAGAUUCAAUUAAAUUAAACUAAAUUUUAUUGACCACGACAACAAAUUUUAAUACAGCUGAAGGAAUGGUCCAGAAAAAUAGACAAAGUGUUAACGAUCUCGUUACACAUAAACAAAAUCACCAUACAUUAGCUUUUCAAGCAUGACAAGACAAUAUUAUUAUCACAGUAACUCACAAAAUAAAACAAACAAACAAGCAAACUAAAGAAAAUAAAGUUCUCUUAAAGCUACCACCCAAAGAAUACACAAAGCUUAAUCUUAGGAAAUAUAUUCAAAAGACAAACAAAAAACAAAAAACCGUUAAACUAACCACAUAAAACUAAAACCUUGUAAACAAUAAAAUCAAUAAAACCCA